AUUGAACGCUGGCGGCAUGCCUUACACAUGCAAGUCGAACGGCAGCAUGGAGAGCUUGCUCUCUGAUGGCGAGUGGCGAACGGGUGAGUAAUGCAUCGGAACGUACCGUGUAAUGGGGGAUAACGUAGCGAAAGUUACGCUAAUACCGCGUACGACCUGAGGGUGAAAGCAGGGGAUCGCAAGACCUUGCGUUAUACGAGCGGCCGAUGUCAGAUUAGCUAGUUGGUGAGGUAAAGGCUCACCAAGGCGACGAUCUGUAGCGGGUCUGAGAGGAUGAUCCGCCACACUGGGACUGGGACACGGCCCAGACUCCUACGGGAGGCAGCAGUGGGGAAUUUUGGACAAUGGGGGCAACCCUGAUCCAGCCAUGCCGCGUGAGUGAAGAAGGCCUUCGGGCUGUAAAGCUCUUUCGGCCGGGAAGAAAUCGCACAGGCUAAUACUCUGUGUGGAUGACGAUACCGGCAUAAGAAGCACCGGCUAACUACGUGCCAGCAGCCGCAGUAA
rnacentral:rRNA from 1 species